GAGUCAUAAUUAAUUCGGAUACAUUCGAUAAAAUUAGAAUGAUACAGAGAAAAUUAACAUGCCCUUAUCUAAGAAUGACAUGAAUAAAUCAAGAAAUGGAUUUAU